GUGGGGAAUAUUGGGCAAUGGGCGCAAGCCUGACCCAGCAACGCCGCGUGAAGGAAGAAGGCUUUCGGGUUGUAAACUUCUUUUGUCAGGGACGAAGCAAGUGACGGUACCUGACGAAUAAGCCACGGCUAACUACGUUCCUGCAGCCGCGGUAAUACGUAGGUGGCAAGCGUUAUCCGGAUUUACUGGGUGUAAAGGGCGUGUAGGCGGGAUUGCAAGUCAGAUGUGAAAACCAUGGGCUCAACCUGUGGCCUGCAUUUGAAACUGUAGUUCUUGAGUACUGGAGAGGCAGACGGAAUUCCUAGUGUAGCGGUGAAAUGCGUAGAUAUUAGGAGGAACACCAGUGGCGAAGGCGGUCUGCUGGACAGCAACUGACGCUGAGGCGCGAAAGCGUGGGGAGCAAACAGG
rnacentral:rRNA from 1 species